AAUGGAUAAAACUCCUCUUAAGA
rnacentral:tRNA from 1 species